UACGUAGGGCGCAAGCGUUGUCCGGAAUUAUUGGGCGUAAAGAGCUCGUAGGCGGUUUGUCGCGUCUGCUGUGAAAACUCGAGGCUCAACCUCGGGCUUGCAGUGGGUACGGGCAGACUAGAGUGCGGUAGGGGUGACUGGAAUUCCUGGUGUAGCGGUGGAAUGCGCAGAUAUCAAGAGGAACACCUGCGGCGAAGGCGGGUUGCUGGGCCGACACUGACGCUGAGGCGCGAAAGCUAGGGGAGCGAACGGG
rnacentral:rRNA from 1 species